ACAGUCCGUAGAAAGAGAAGGAAAUGAGCUGCUGUACAGUUUUUCCAAUUCGAAAAAGAAAAGGAGCUGAAAACGUUUUCCGACACGGAACAAUGUCACAACAGAGCCAGUCACAUUUCUCCAUAAAGGCAGAGAAUCUAAAACCAACUUUAAUUACAUUGAAUCAAUCCAAGUGUCCUCUUUGUAAAAAGCAAGGAGACUACAGCAUCCUGCUGCCUGCCUUUAGAGUCUUGAAGACCACAUUGUCAAGUAUGCAGGUAGUGUAUAAUACCAGCCAGCUGCUCCAAUCUGCUGAACAAACUGUUCUCAAACUCCUUUCCCUGGUCAUGGUGGAGUUUCUGAGGAUAUCCAAAACGAGGGAUGAAAUCCUGGAAGAUCUUAUCUGCAGUUGUCUUCCCUGAUUUGUUCCUUGUUGGGUACGCUUCAGCAAAGCGUGUGAAGUGGUCGAUAAGAACAAGGAUGUACUCAUAACCUUGACUUUGCUCAAGGUGGAGGUAGUCAAUGUAUAUCAGCUCAAAUGGACUGCUGGUGGAGAUGUGUCCCAAGGGAGCUCUCUGUGGAAGAUUGGGAUAUUUCUGUUUAAUACAGGCACAUCUUUUAUUAACAUAGUCCUCUAUCUCCUGCUGCAGGUUGGGCCAAUAGAACGUCUCUCGUGCAAGAUGAACUACUUUCUCUGAGCCAACAUGGCCCAUGUCAUUGUGCAGGGAUUUGAGCACCAUGGGUUUCAGUUUCUCAGGAAGGACAAGCUACCUGUGUUGUUCAGUCUGAGGAUCCCAUCAUCCCAUCAUCCACCUCUAGUUUUUUCCAUUCAUAUAUAGCAGUCUCUUUGUCUCUUUCCUCAUGUUUCUCUUUUCUUUUCCAUUAGAAAUCCAGUUUUGAAGUUUCAAUUGGACAACUUCUUUGAUGGCUGGAUCUUCUUGUUGUGCGGCUCUGAUGUUUUCAGGUGUGACACUGGAAAUGCUAUCAAGUGGCACAGCAUCUGCAUUCUCACCAUCCAGCUGCAAAGCUGCCACCCAAGGUGUUUGCAGCAGUUUAAACAGUGGCCGUGCCACCCGAGAGAAGUCUUGAAUAAAGAAGCAAUAAUAUCCAAGAAACCCCAGCAAGGACUUGACAUCUCCAACUGUACGAGGCUGUUUGGCUUUCAGUGCCAACACCGCUUCCAGGUCCUGGAGGUCGAUUUACACUCCCUCUCCAGACACCAGUCGGCCGAGGAUUGAAAUGAAGAUGUCACAAAACAACGGAGAUUUCAUGUGAAAAAAUCUUUAAUGGUGAUGAUGAAUUUGUUCUUAAUAGGGAAGUUGGCCAAACAAAUUUAUAAUGAUAUGUCAAGUACAUCAGAUGAAAAUGUGUCCUUCCUACUCUACAGUCAAAAGCUGGGUUGCUUGAUUUAGGACAGGACAAUUCAGCACAGAUGAUGAAGAAUGUCCAGGGAAACGAAUUGUUCACACUGAUGCUAUCACCAUGCCUGCUGACUUCUGUGCUUCGAACAUCUGUUGAUGUGUCUAAGACCUCAUGAAUUAAGUAGCCUACAAAGUGCUAGGUUUGGUUUAGAUCUUUCUUUGAUUUUUGACUCUGAUUUUUGGUUGCUAAUUAUUUUUUGAUCUUGUGGUUUUGACCUUUGUCUGACCCAGACUACAAAUUUGCUGCUUGUUAUUAUGUCCGGGUUCUUCGUCACUCACCAUAAAUCUAGAGACUUUGUCUCAUCACAGUUUAGUAACGAGCAGAAGAAAAUAUUAUUAUUUGAUUGGCUUCUUUUGGAGUAAAAGGAACUGUGCUCAGAGAAUUAAUACAGUUUAUGACAACUAUUGGAGCUUGAAACUGGCCUAUGGACGGUCUGAAGACAUUGCUCUGCUGUGUUUCAGAAAAUGCCUCCAUGUUACUGAAGACAGACAGCCAUGUUGUCCUGUGGACUGUAUAUACAUAUGAACGAGAAAGUUAAAUAAAGCUAAAUGUUUUGG